AAACAGGUGUCAUUAGGCGCCACAUCAUUGUAACAGUAAAAAAAUGU
rfam:Nelumbo nucifera unplaced genomic scaffold scaffold00062, whole genome shotgun sequence